GACGAACGCUGGCGGCGUGCCUAAUACAUGCAAGUUGAGCGCUGAAGGUUGGUACUUGUACCAACUGGAUGAGCAGCGAACGGGUGAGUAACGCGUGGGGAAUCUGCCUUUGAGCGGGGGACAACAUUUGGAAACGAAUGCUAAUACCGCAUAAAAACUUUAAACACAAGUUUUAAGUUUGAAAGAUGCAAUUGCAUCACUCAAAGAUGAUCCCGCGUUGUAUUAGCUAGUUGGUGAGGUAAAGGCUCACCAAGGCGAUGAUACAUAGCCGACCUGAGAGGGUGAGCGGCCACAUUGGGACGGAGACACGGCCCAAACUCCUACGGGAGGCAGCAGUAGGGAAUCUUCGGCAAUGGACGAAAGUCUGACCGAGCAACGCCGCGGGAGUGAAGAAGGUUUUCGGAUCGUAAAACUCUGUUGGUAGAGAAGAACGUUGGUGAGAGUGGAAAGCUCAUCAAGUGACGGUAACUACCCAGAAAGGGACGGCUAACUACGUG
rnacentral:rRNA from 1 species